rfam:Subdoligranulum variabile DSM 15176 genomic scaffold Scfld0, whole genome shotgun sequence.
UAUACUAUCUAAGCUGUUUUUAAGACAGCAGGUGCCGCGAGGCAUAAUGGGGUAACCCAACCUGCCGAGAAACGUGCGUUUGAUUGCUGUGCUUUCAAGCCCUUUUCCCGGCGACGGGAAAGGGGCUUUUUUGUUACACGA